GAUGAAGAACGUAGCGAAAUGCGAUAAGUAAUGUGAAUUGCAGAAUUCAGUGAAUCAUCGAAUCUUUGAACGCACCUUGCGCUCCUUGGUAUUCCGAGGAGCAUGCCUGUUUGAGUGUCAUUAAAUUCUCAACCUUAUUGGCUUUUGCUGAUAAUGGCUUGGACUUGGGGGUCUUUUUGCUGGCUUUCAUUAGUCUGCUCCCCUUAAAUGUAUUAGCCGGUGCCCCGCAGUGGAACCGUCUAUUGGUGUGAUAAUUAUCUACGCCGUGGACGUCUGCUAUAAUGGGUUUGCGCUGCUUCUAACCAUCUCUCGGGACAACACAAAUGACAAUUUGACCUCAAAUCAGGUAGGACUACCCGCUGAACUUAAGCAUAUCAAUAAGCGGAGGA
rnacentral:misc_RNA from 1 species